rnacentral:rRNA from 1 species
AACUUUAAGGAUACUGCCAGUGACAAACUGGAGGAAGGCGGGGACGACGUCAAGUCAUCAUGGCCCUUACGACCAGGGCUACACACGUGCUACAAUGGUCGGUACAAAGGGUUGCUACCUAGCGAUAGGAUGCUAAUCUCAAAAAGCCGAUCGUAGUCCGGAUUGGAGUCUGCAACUCGACUCCAUGAAGUCGGAAUCGCUAGUAAUCGCGGAUCAGAAUGCCGCGGUGAAUACGUUCCCGGGCCUUGUACACACCGCCCGUCACACCAUGGGAGUUUGUUGCACCAGAAGUAGGUAGUCUAACCUUAGGGAGGACGCUA